AUGCAUGUCUCAGUACAAGCCGUCCCGUACGGUGAAACCGCGAAAGGCUCAUUAAAUCAGUUAUGGUUCCUUAGAUCGUACCCACGUUACAUGGAUAACUGUGGUAAUUCUAGAGCUAAUACAUGCCGACAGAGUUCCGACCAGCGCGUCGGCUUCGGCGGUUCGCCCGUCGUCGUCGGCCGUUCGGAAGGAGCGCUUUUAUUAGAUCAAAACCGGCCAAGCGUCUCGAUCGCGCUUCGCGCGCGUUCGGGCGUAAGCGGCCCGCGCAAAGACUUGACGACUCUGAAUAACUUCGAGCUGAUCGCACGGUCCUAGUACCGGCGACGUAUCUUUCAAAUGUCUGCCUUAUCAACUGUCGACGGUAGGUUCUACGCCUACCGUGGUGGUAACGGGUAACGGGGAAUCAGGGUUCGAUUCCGGAGAGGGAGCCUGAGAAACGGCUACCACAUCCAAGGAAGGCAGCAGGCGCGCAAAUUAUCCACUCCU
rnacentral:rRNA from 1 species